rnacentral:rRNA from 1 species
ACGGGAGGCAGCAGUAAGGAAUAUUGGUCAAUGGACGAAAGUCUGAACCAGCCAUGCCGCGUGCAGGAUGACUGCCCUAUGGGUUGUAAACUGCUUUUAUAUAGGAAGAAAAACUUUCUCGUGAGAAAGCUUGACGGUACUAUAAGAAUAAGGAUCGGCUAACUCCGUGCCAGCAGCCGCGGUAAUACGGAGGAUCCAAGCGUUAUCCGGAAUCAUUGGGUUUAAAGGGUCCGUAGGUGGACAAAUAAGUCAGAGGUGAAAUCCUGCAGCUCAACUGUAGAACUGCCUUUGAUACUGUUUGUCUUGAGUUAUUAUGAAGUGGUUAGAAUGUGUAGUGUAGCGGUGAAAUG